UGCCAGACUUUGAUUAUGGCUCAGGAUGAACGCUAGCUGCAGGCUUAACACAUGCAAGUCGAGGGGAAACGACAUCGAAAGCUUGCUUUUGAUGGGCGUCGACCGGCGCACGGGUGAGUAACGCGUAUCCAACCUGCCCACCACUUGGGGAUAACCUUGCGAAAGUAAGACUAAUACCCAAUGAUAUCUCUAGAAGACAUCUGAAAGAGAUUAAAGAUUUAUCGGUGAUGGAUGGGGAUGCGUCUGAUUAGCUUGUUGGCGGGGUAACGGCCCACCAAGGCGACGAUCAGUAGGGGUUCUGAGAGGAAGGUCCCCCACAUUGGAACUGAGACACGGUCCAAACUCCUACGGGAGGCAGCAGCGAGGAAUAUUGGUCAAUGGGCGAGAGCCUGAACCAGCCAAGUAGCGUGCAGGAUGACGGCCCUAUGGGUUGUAAACUGCUUUUAUAAGGGAAUAAAGUGAGUCUCGUGAGACUUUUUGCAUGUACCUUAUGAAUAAGGACCGGCUAAUUCCGUGCCAGCAGCCGCGGUAAUACGGAAGGUCCGGGCGUUAUCCGGAUUUAUUGGGUUUAAAGGGAGCGUAGGCCGGAGAUUAAGCGUGUUGUGAAAUGUAGACGCUCAACGUCUGCACUGCAGCGCGAACUGGUUUCCUUGAGUACGCACAAAGUGGGCGGAAUUCGUGGUGUAGCGGUGAAAUGCUUAGAUAUCACGAAGAACUCCGAUUGCGAAGGCAGCUCACUGGAGCGCAACUGACGCUGAAGCUCGAAAGUGCGGGUAUCGAACAGGAUUAGAUACCCUGGUAGUCCGCACGGUAAACGAUGGAUGCCCGCUGUUGGUCUGAAUAGGUCGGCGGCCAAGCGAAGGCAUUAAGCAUCCCACCUGGGGAGUACGCCGGCAACGGUGCAACUCAAAUGAAUUGACGGA
rnacentral:rRNA from 2 species